GUGAGUGAAGAAGGCCUUUGGGUCGUAAAGCUCUGUCAACUGGGAAGAAAUUGUCUGAUAUUAAUAGUGUCAGUCAUUGACGGUACCAGUGGAGGAAGCGCCGGCUAACUCCGUGCCAGCAGCCGCGGUAACACGGGGGGCGCAAGCGUUAUUCGGAAUUAUUGGGCGUAAAGGGCGCGCAGGCGGUCUUGUCAGUCAGGUGUGAAAGCCCGGGGCUCAACCCUGGAAGUGCAUUUGAAACAGCAAGACUUGAAUACUGGAGAGGAAAGCGGAAUUCCUGGUGUAGAGGUGAAAUUCGUAGAUAUCAGGAGGAACACCUAUGGCGAAGGCAGCUUUCUGGACAGAUAUUGACGCUGAGGCGCGAAGGCGUGGGUAGCGAACAGGAUUAGAUACCCUGGUAGUCCACGCAGUAAACGUAGUACACUCGGUGUAUCGGAUAUUAAAAUAUGAUGUGCCUAAGCUAACGCAUUAAGUGUACCGCCUGGGAAGUACGCUUGCAAGACUGAAACUCAAAGGAAUUGACGGGGGCCCGCACAACCGUUGGAGCAUAUGGUUUAAUUCGACGCAACGCGAAGAACCUUACCUGGCUUUGACAUCCUGUGAAUAUUGGGUAAUUCCAAUAGUGCCUUCGGGAGCACAGAGACAGGUGCUGCAUGGCUGUCGUCAGCUCGUGUCGUGAGAUGUUCGGUUAAGUACAGCAACGAGCGCAACCCUUAUCGUUAGUUGCCAGCACAUAAUGGUGGGAACUCUAGCGAGACUGCCCCGUUCAACGGGGAGGAAGGUGGGGAUGACGUCAAGUCCUCAUGGCCCUUAUAUCCAGGGCUACACACGUGCUACAAUGGUAGGUACAAAGGGCAGCGACUCUGCAAAGAGCAGCGAAUCCCAAAAGCCUAUCUCAGUCCGAAUUGGGGUCUGCAACUCGACCCCAUGAAGUUGGAAUCGCUAGUAAUCGCGGAUCAGCAUGCCGCGGUGAAUCUGUUCCCGGGCCUUGUACACACCGCCCGUCACACCAUGGAAGUUGAUUAUACCCGACGUCGCUGGGCUAACAUUCGGGAAGCAGGCGCCUAA
rnacentral:rRNA from 1 species